UAAGGAAUAUUGGACAAUGGAGGCAACUCUGAUCCAGCCAUGCCGCGUGAAGGAAUAAGGCCCUAUGGGUUGUAAACUUCUUUUAGACGGGACAAAACCCCUUUACGUGUAAAGGGUUGAUGGUACUGUCAGAAUAAGCAUCGGCUAACUUCGUGCCAGCAGCCGCGGUAAUACGAAGGAUGCAAGCGUUAUCCGGAAUUAUUGGGUUUAAAGGGUGCGUAGGCGGACUAAUAAGUCAGUGGUGAAAGCCUGCAGCUUAACUGCAGAAUUGCCAUUGAUACUGUUAGUCUUGAGUACAGUUGAGGUUGGCGGAAUGUGUCAUGUAGCGGUGAAAUGCUUAGAUAUGACACAGAACACCGAUUGCGAAGGCAGCUUGCUAAGCUGUAACUGACGCUGAGGCACGAAAGCGUGGGGAGCAAACA
rnacentral:rRNA from 1 species